CUUUUCCUCAUUCUUUCUCUGUUUUUCUCUCUCUUAGUCAAGAGGUGGUUUCAGAGCAAUAACGAUGAUAGCAUACAGCAAACUGGUAUCCUAGUCUCUUUGAAGUGUCCCAUUACUUUUAAGAGGAUACAGCUACCAGCCAGAGGAGCUGAUUGUAAACAUAUACAGUGUUUUGACUUGCAGUCUUAUUUACAACUCAACUGUGACAGAGGUACGUGGAGAUGUCCCGUUUGCAACAACAGCGCACAGCUAGAAGGACUUGAGGUGGAUCAGUAUAUAUGGGGAAUACUCUCUGGAGUCAAUAACAACAAAAUGGAGGUGGAGGAGAUAACGAUCGAUCCUAGUGCCAAUUGGAAAGCACAUUCCAGAGAGACUGAUGAAGAAGGUAUGUAUAUGUACAUGUAGUCCAUGG